rnacentral:lncRNA from 1 species
CUCUGCCUCCAUGUCCUGCCUUCCAGAUGUAAACUUCCCAUGGCUUUGCUGGACUCAGCUCUCAGCAGCUCUUCUGUGUUGGAGCAUCUUGUCUGCAGCUCUCCUAGGCUGGUGUUGCAUGCUGGUAGCUCUGCAGUUCUAGGCAUUGUGGGUGACUCCAUUCCCAUGAUGCCAUGUACAACAAGACACAGAGGUCCCAGCUGGAGAACUUCUGGUUUUAUAGAUCUUAGAAAUUAUACUAUAAAAGCCCAUUUUUAUUCUCAGAGGCUUAAGCUUCUAUCACUUUCCAGAGAGGCAGCAACUCUGGGCCUUCUCCUCUGGGGUAUAUGGAGAGAGGAUUAGACUUUAGGCUAUAGAGUCACAUAGAUUUGAGAAUGAAUCGUAGCCAAUACUGCUAUUUGCUGUGUGACCUUGUGGCAAGUGCCAUAAGAUUCUCUCAGUCUCAGUUUCCUCACUGGUACAAUGGGAAUGAUAAUAUCAAUAUGUCAGAAUGUGAGCAUUAAUGGAGAUAGUGCACAGCAAGUGUUUGCACAGGAUCUGGCACCCAGGAAGCAAUCCACAUUGAUUAUUAAUAGCGACUAUUUAUAAACUACUUUCAUGGAACACAUAGGCAUGUAAGCUGUCAUUAGCUGGUAGGGUCAUGAUGACAUCCCGUGCUCAUUCAGAAGAGACUUCCAGGACUUGUUUUUAUCCCACUGUGAAAGCUUCUUUCAUUUCCUGUUCAUGUGUGUGUUUGUGUGUGUGUGCCUAUAUGUGCUCACUCUGAUCUUUACAACAGUUUCAGGCAUCUUUUAUGUGAAAUGAGACAAUAAGAAUAAUUGUCUCAGAUCUUUUAAAAGCUGAGAUUUUGGUAGAGCACAGAGGAGUAGAAGACAAAGAGGACAGAAAUCAGUGAGAGGAGAAGGGACUCUCAGAACAUACUGAAGUCAAUGUUAGACAUGAAGUUGGAAGAGUGUGGGCUUCCACAUCUCCAGCAAGAACCAUUAAGGCCCUCCCACUCAAGCUGUGCCAUUUCUAAGCCAAUUCUCCCUGAUGAGGCAGCUGCCUCUUAAGCAGUAUUGUUAAAAUAGACAACCCAUCUCCAGGUGCGGGAGGAACUAGGGCCCCAAACUAAAUGGAGUAUUUGUAACAAAAGCUCAUUGUUUGCUAUCUGUUUAGAGCCUGUUUAGUGGUGCCAAUAAUAGGAAAAUCACUUGAUUUACACUGGAAGGCAGUGUUUAGGGAAGAUGACAUUUAUUUUUUAUUAUUUUUUUAAAUUUUUUAUUGUUGGUUGUUCAAAACAUUACAUGUUUCUUGAUAUAUCAUAUUUCACACUUUGAUUCAAGUGGGUUAUGAAUUCCCAUUUUUACCCCAUAUACAGAUUGGGAAGAUGACAUUUAGAAGAAUGGGGAAUGCAAACACGCCAGUGCAUUCCAUUACUCCAUCUUCCUAGACAUGAGGAUACUCUGAAAUCGUCAUUCCCAACUCAUGCUCCGUUCCAUCACUUUUUUGAUGAAAGUGUGGCUUCUUCAUUUGCAGUGUCCUGUCCAUCCUGUGUGCACUGACCGAGCUGGCACAGGGUGUGGUGGAGCAAAGCUGUUCACCUCAUGGCAGCCAGGGAGCAGAGAAAGAGAGAGGAAGGGGCCAGGGUCCCAGUGCCUCCUUCAAGGGCAUACCCCCCAAUGACCUAACUUCCUGCCAGUAGGCAUCACUCCUAAAGAACCCAAGACUUCCCAGCAGUGACAAAAUCUUUAACACAAUUGAGCCUUUGGAGGACACUUCAGGAACAGAACUCUUAAAAAUGGUUGUAAUGUAGUGGCACUCCCUCCUCCACAAAGAAAAUCUUAACUAAGCUUCUCCAGAAAUCUUUACCAUAAUUGAUUUUUAGACUGUAAGCAAAAGAGUCUGUACAAAAAAGUUCAAUGUAGUUAAACUUCCUAUUUUCCUGUUGCUGUAUUUUACUUGGCCACUGUCCUGGAAGAAAUCAGCACUCCAGGUGCUGAAUGCUCCUUUACUAGUUUUCACAAACAUUUAUCCAGUAUAGUAGUUUGUAGAAGUGUGUUUGCAAAUGCAAAAUGCGAUUAAAAAAAAAAAUCCUUUAACAAGGCCUGUGGCCUUGAGCUGGAGCUUCACAGAGAUGUCUACAUUUUUAAGAGAAGUUACCAAUUAGGCUCCAUGGUAACAGCUGGCAGGAGGAGGAAAGAAAGGGGAGAAGAAGCUCUCCCCUUGUCAGGUGUUGUCUUUGAAGGGUUAACUUACCCAGAACAGUGAAAGAAAAAGCUUGCUUUAUGUGAACUUCUGCAGACUGUGAACUUCUGAGCCCCUCCCCUUACAUGCUGGGUAUAAAGUUCCGAAACUACCUGAAUUCGGGGUUCAGGGGAUUAAUUGAUUACAGCAAAAGCUGUGCCCUCUAAACCUGGCUGCAGCCAAAUAAAACUGUUUCCUGCUAUCUUUGGUGCCCUGCCUCGUCUGUCCCUACAACAGUAAUGGUAAACUUUAUUUUGUAUAUUUUAAUAUAAUAAAACUAAUCAGGGUGGUAAGUGAGUACUCCAAAGCACGAGGACAAGUGACCCCUAAAGCCCAGGCCUGGCCCAGGUGUCCUUCCUAGACAUAGCCCCCUGACCCCGUCUCCAGAGCCUGGGUGCCUCUGCUAUGUGAAGAGGCUCAGGAAGGUGUGGGAUUAGAGCAAGUGGAGGUACCGGAUCUGGAGGCACAUCUUACCCAACCUCGAAGAGCAAGAGUGUCUGCCUCAUUUCCAGAAGAGUUCUGU